GUGUGAGAGUAUGUGUGUGUGUGUAUAUACGUAUACACACACACACACACACACACACACACACACACACACACAUAU
rnacentral:miRNA from 12 species